CAUUUUCAUUCUCUUUCUCCCAUCUCUCUCAACACCGCCAGCCUCCCCUCUCUUCUCACGUUGUUCCUCCGGUGAGAUUAUCCAUCGCCGAUGAAGGCUUCCUCCCUACUGGCGCCUCAAUAUUCCCGUAUCUUUCCCCUCGUCAUUCCCCUCCCCUCUCCCUCUCUCUCCCUAACUGUCGUAGUCUCCGGCAGGACGCCACCGGAGAAAGCGCAACGUUGGAGACCCCUCUCUUACUCUUUCUCUCCUCUUGUCUUUUUUCCAGUGAAGCUAGCGACAGCAGCAACAGAACACCUGAAGAAGAAACUUGACGAGAUAGCAACAAAAAAUGCAGGGAGACAACAAGCAGCCGGUGAGCUCCAACCGGUGAUCAGAGCACCUCCGGUAAGAGAACCAGCAACAACCACUCUGACUAGCGAGGUCCGCGAGGACCAUCUGCAUGUCAACUGCCAAUCGCUACUCUAAUUAUCCUUAUCGAGAAUUGAGAAUCAAGGCAUUCUGAUAAGGACAAAUAUAUGCAUAUCUGUCCCAGGCGAGUGCAGAAUCUAUUGCUAACAAUCGAAGGAAGAGAACUUUUAAUGUGUCGUCAUUCCAAAUACCAUUGUCAGAUGUGGUGGAGGUAUUAGGUGCGGAGUCUGAAGAGGGACCUGAUAAGGAAAUUGUGGAUGAUUUGAAACAAAAUUUAAAGAAAACCCGAAGGAUCAACUAAGGCUGGUGGUGCUGAGGAAAAAGGAAAAAUAUAGAGAAAAACUUCUGAAGUGGAACCUGAAGAUUAUGAACAGGGAGCUGGUCCACAAGUACAUGUGGAAGACGCAGCUAUCAACAGACAAACAAUUGUUGACAAUCUAAGAACACAAACUGUCGUGGCAGGUAGAGUUUUUGAUAUGAAUAUUGUUAAGCAACCUGGGAUGGCUACUUUACAUGACAUUGUGGUGAUUCAAUCAUGGAUACACCUAUUUGACACCAAGUCUCUUAUUCUCCAUGAGGAAGAAUUAGGUGAGAUCUACUAUAUCAUUGAGUUUCAAGAAGAUGGUAGUAUUAAGAAAAGAGUAGGAAACAUAGAAAUCUAUCUUGUGAAGACUUACUGGGAAACAUCUUAGGAAUACCUUGAGAAGGUAUCAAGUUUGUGGUUGGGAAGACUUGUUCUGUUAAAUUUGUCAAAGUAUGUUCCAAGGUUCCCAUAACUCGAUGCACUGGAUUGCUCAAGAAGUUAAUGAAGAAUGAAUAUCAGUUCGUCUUUGAAUUUGUCAACAAGGUUCUUCUUCCCAGAACAGAGAAGAGGACUUCUGCCACUUCAUCUGAUCUAUUUCUUAUGGAAUUCUUGUGCAAGUUUGAAUCACUGGAACUUCCAGCACUCAUGCUUGAACACAUGUACAAGAUUGUAAUUGAGCGAAAAGGAAGCAUGGAAUGGGUUAUGGAUACUUAUUGACAAAAGUAUUCAAGUACCUAAACAUUCCACUUGGAGUCGGCAAAGUAGGAACUGCCAGCAUUUACUAUAAUUACUCUGGUUAAGUGCGAAUGCUUUGAAGGAAAGGGAAAUCCUAAGAUUAAAGUGUCUCAGUUAAUUGCAGCGCAGGAUCAGAUGAAGCAUGAUUUGGAAGAGAGGACUAUGAGGGUGAGAAGAACAGAUGCUGAGAUUGCUAUUCUUAAGGUUGAACUUCUCAAGGUGCAGACUGAGGAACCUGGUACCUCUCUCAUUCAAGAACUGCAUAGGGAAAAUGCAAAAUUGAGGACCAAGAUUGCUGCACUACAAGAAAAAUCAAUCAAGGACAAUGAUGACGCAAAUGCUAGACUUACUGUCAUCAUUCAGUCCCUUAGCCAUCAGCCUCCCCCCUCAUAGUCCUUCAUGUGGUCUUCCCUCUUUUUUUUGUGUGGAACAUUUCCAAUUUCUCCAAACUUAGUUUAACUUUAAUGAAUUGAAUGCAAUUUCUGUUUUGCAAUGAA